AACGAACGCUGGCGGCAUGCCUAACACAUGCAAGUCGAACGACCCCUUCGGGGAUAGGCGCGCAGGUGUGUAUAACGUGGGGGAACCUGCCCUUAUGUGCGGAAUAACUCCCCGAAAGGGAUUCUUAUACCAGAUACUGUCUGGGGGCCAAAGAUUUAUCGCCAUGGGUUGGGCCCGCGUUGGAUUAGCUAGUUGGUAGGGUAAAAGCCUACCAAGGCGACGAUCCAUAGCUGGUCUGAGAGGAUGAUCAGCCACACUGGGACUGAGACACGGCCCAGACUCCUACGGGAGGCAGCAGUGGGGAAUAUUAGACAAUGGGGGCAAGCCUGAUCCAGCCAUGCCGCGUGAGUGAUGAAGGCCUUAGGGUUGUAAAGCUCUUUUAGCUGGGAAGAUAAUGACGGUACCAGGAGAAGAAGCCCCGGCUAACUCCGUG
rnacentral:rRNA from 1 species